GGGCCCAAGGCUCCAGGGUCUGUGCGGCCACUCCAUUUGCCCUGUAGUCCUGGCUGGCUGAGGACAGGCGUGAGUGGCCCCUGCUGCUGGAGCAUUUUGGUGCUGCCAUUGCUCUCCUGGCAGCAGUUUUCCUCUGCAGGGCUCCCAAGCACAAGGCCAUCCGGAGCCCUGCUGCAGCUCCUUCUUUUCAUCAUUCUGCGCUUACAAACACACAGAGCGAGAUGAAGGAGAGCUGUACGGUCCCUGCCGGAGUGACUGAUGUGCGGGAGGGCAAAGAGAGGGGAGCAGCAGGCCCACUGUGAGCACUCGGUGAGGGAGGCCUCCCUUUGUAGGCUAGUGAAUGCAGUGUGAGAGGGAGGGGAAGAAGGGAAAUGCUGUGUGUGUGUGUGUGUGUGUGUGUGUUUACCACAGUGUUUUGUAAGUGCCUUUCUAAAUGCUGAAAACUAGCGACAUGAAUAAAGAAUAUGUAUUUUCACAUUACUGGGGUAGUUUUUUUUUUUUUAAAUCUGUGCUUAAUGUCUUCUAUGAUUGAGAUCAUUGUCUUCCUUACAUUAAACUAUAACGGGUUCUAUAUUAUGCUGGAUGCCAAUUAGAAAUCAGAUUAUAUAGCUCUAAUUAGAUGAUUUUUUGAAAGAUUCAGUGAACCAUCUUGUGAUGGCUUAUGUAUCAAUCAUGGAAACAGUCUGCCAUAAUCACAGGCGGUAUAAGUUUUAACACCUUGAGUACAGUAGCACUGAACUGGAUAUUAGAUUAUUCAUAAUAACUAAUACUGUUGAGAGACUAAUAACCCUGGAGUUGAAAACAUUUUUUAGAAUUUAUUUUUACAAAUAACAAAUUAGUUACAGUUUAGGACAGUUUCUUUUUUUUUUUUUAAAGCGAAGUAAAUCUACUUUAAGAAGCACUGAUCUAUGGGAAUGUGAGUACCAUAUAGAUCCAAUAAUGUGUUUAGUAUUGUUUGCAUUUUAUAUUACAUUGUUUGAGGGAUCUGGCUUUUUGCCUUACUCAGAUGGUGGUUUAUUUUUAUUUCUAAGCUUUAUCAACCCAGACAGAAACGUGUAUCCAUCACGGCUCAAUCAGAGAAACAGGGCUUUUUAGAGCCAACACCAAAGAUCUCGGUGAGCCGGUCUACUCUGAUCGCUGCUUUGGCUCUCUGUGCUUCACAGUAACCACAUCCACCAUGCCUUUGGCAAUUAAGUGCUGCCACCUGGCCCCUGCAACCCUGGGGUCUCAUCAUCUUCAUUGCAUUUAGGGACACUAGUUAGAUGGUAGCACAGAAAUUCCAACUGUAAUUUGUGGCCUCCAGGAAGAGUUCAGGGAUGCUGAGGUUCCUCUCGCGUAUUUAUUUCUCAUAACUGUAUAGAAAGAUGUGCCUCUGGAUCCUCUGGGGAUGGAUUGCUGAAGCCUCCUGUUGUGAGAAAGUUUCCAGGCCACAGCACAGGAACCUGGGAAGAGCCUGGCAGUCCUGCUGAGUUAAGGAGGCUAUACUGAGCCUGGGAGUCCAAAGUGGCUAGAAUUUGCAGAACAAAGUGCCAGAGAGGAAAGACUUACUCAGGCAGAGGGUUCUGGAGAUUUGGAGAGGAAGCCCUGUGAAUAUUCAGCUGCUACUGAUCAGCUCUUACAUGUAGGGAAACUGAGGCCAUGAAAGAACUAUCUGAGAGGACUAGAGAGAAGAGUGCCAGUCACAAAAUUAGAGUUUUCCCACCAUCCAGAUUGGAAAACCUCAUGAUUCACUUGGGCAUUGUAUACAGUACGCAGAAGAGUUUUACCUCAGUAGUGGAGAAUAACUAGCCUUGAGCUAAAUGCUGUUCCAGUUUUGCCUAACAAAUAUUAAAAGCAAGAUCCAAAGGAAUCAGAUAGUUUCCAAGUAAUUUACCUGUGUCCCAGAGCAAAGUUUAAGAAUGUUCAUAGGAAUACAAAAGUAUCCAGCACCAACUAGAUAACAUUCCUAAUGUCUACCGUCUAAUCAAAGAUUACAGUUAUUAAAAUUGUAUGUUCCAAAAGUUAAGUAGACACAUGGAGGUAUAAAAAAAACCCAGUUGAACUUCUACUGAUGAAAACUACAAUGUAAGAGAAAAAAUUCCCUGGAUGAGAUUAAUGGCAGAUUUGAAACAAGAAAAAAGAUUAGUGGACUUACAGGCAUUGCAGUGCAAUAUACAUUCUCCAAAAUGAAGAACACAGAGAAAAAGCAUUUUUUCAACAAAAAUAUGAAAAAAAUCAGACAGCUUUGUGGAAUAAUUUCCAGAAACACUAAUAUAUGUGGAAUAAGGAGUGAGGGCAAACAGAAAAAAUACUUGAAGAAAUAGUAGUAAUUUUUUUUCAAAAUAGAAUAAAAACUAGAAACCCACAGAUUCAAGAAGCCGAAUGCAUACAAAGAACCAAAAAUAGGAAAAAAAAACACACCAAUGUAUUGUGGGAUUUAUAACAUUUGUAUAAGUAAUUGUAUGAAAAUACUGUAAAGGAGGGCGGAUGGAAGUAUACAAUGUAAGAUUCUUAGACUAUACUUGAUGAAGUCUAAUGUCACCUGAAGGUAGACUAUGAUAAAUUAAAGUUGUAUACUGUAAAGCUUAAAGCAACCACUAAAAUAAAACCAAAAACCCCAAAGAGUUGGCUAAGAAACCAACAAAGGAAAUGGAAUGGAAUCAUAAAAAAUACCCAAUUAAUGCAAAAGAAGGCAGAAAACAGGAAAAAAGAAACAAAGAAUAGAUGGGACCGAAACGAAACAAAUAGUAAGAUGCCAUUACCUCUUUGAAUUUCUUCCAUGAAUUGCUUGUACAUAUUUUUUCUGUGAGACUGUGUUACAUUGAUGUGUGAGAUUUCUUUUUUUUAACUUUUAAGCUCUAGUAUAUUAAAUAUUCAUUGUUUUGAAUUUAGCAAAUGCAUAAAAACAUAAUAAGACAAUUUAAAAAAACAUCCCAAAUCCCAAAACUUAGAGGUAGACAAUUAUAUUUUGCUGUUUUGCCUUCCAUUUUUCCCUGUGCAUACACAGAUGCAUACAUAUUUUUAUGAAAAUUAGAUUCAUAGUGCACCUAUUUUGUAGCCUGCCUUUUUUUUUUCUGCUUAGGAGUAUUUCAUGAGUGUUGCUGCAUUCACUAAAUAUUUCUUAGUACAAACUGUUUUAAACAGUUGCAUAUUAUUUUGUUGUGUGAAUGUAUUAACAUGUAAGCAAUUAGAAAGGGACAUUUUAAAAAUUGCAAGGAAAGAAGUUGUUUUCCAAUACCCUUAAGCAAUUUGAAAAUAACCAUUUAAAUCCAAACAAUUAUAAAAUUCUUAUUUGUCUACAAAAGAAGAUUCAAUAAAGCAACUCAAGUAGGAGACAAUAAAAAUAAAAAUAAAAGAAAGCAAAAUAAAAAAAUAA
rnacentral:sRNA from 1 species